UUUUCAUUGCUUGUUUUUCUGACGAUACAAAUUUGAGUCUGAACUCCGGCGAGCCCGCGCCGGCGGAAUUGAUCUUCCGCCAGCGGCUGUUUCCAACGUCUCGCCGAAGCAACGUCGAAUUGUCAAGGGUGGGAGUUCCUGAGGCAGGAGUACUCGGUAAUGAUCCUUCCGCAGGUUCACUGUAAAUGUUAGCAUGAUUCCAAAACCGGAGAGAACGACAUACCCUACGGAAA
rnacentral:misc_RNA from 1 species